UACAUAGGUCUCAAGCGUCAUCCGGAUUUACUGGGCGUAAAGCGUGCGUAGGCGGUCCGUUAAGUCUCCGGUGAAAUCCCUCGGCUCAACCGAGGAACUGUCGGAGAUACUGGCGGACUAGAGUGUGGUAGAGGCAGAUGGAAUUGAUGGUGUAGCGGUAAAAUGCGUAGAUAUCAUCAAGAACACCCAUGGCGAAGGCAGUCUGCUGGGCCACUACUGACGCUGAGGCACGAAAGCGUGGGGAGCGAACGGG
rnacentral:rRNA from 1 species